rnacentral:rRNA from 1 species
ACGGGUGCGUAACGCGUGGGAAUCUGCCCUUAGGUUCGGAAUAACAGUUGGAAACGACUGCUAAUACCGGAUGAUGACGUAAGUCCAAAGAUUUAUCGCCUGAGGAUGAGCCCGCGUAGGAUUAGCUAGUUGGUGUGGUAAGAGCGCACCAAGGCGACGAUCCUUAGCUGGUCUGAGAGGAUGAUCAGCCACACUGGGACUGAGACACGGCCCAGACUCCUACGGGAGGCAGCAGUGGGGAAUAUUGGACAAUGGGCGAAAGCCUGAUCCAGCAAUGCCGCGUGAGUGAUGAAGGCCUUAGGGUUGUAAAGCUCUUUUACCCGGGAUGAUAAUGACAGUACCGGGAGAAUAAGCUCCGGCUAACUCCGUGCCAGCAGCCGCGGUAAUACGGAGGGAGCUAGCGUUGUUCGGAAUUACUGGGCGUAAAGCGCACGUAGGCGGCUUUGUAAGUUAGAGGUGAAAGCCUGGAGCUCAACUCCAGAAUUGCCUUUAAGACUGCAUCGCUUGAAUCCAGGAGAGGUGAGUGGAAUUCCGAGUGUAGAGGUGAAAUUCGUAGA